CACCAUUCGCGCCUUGCGGUGCAUCCGGGAGGUACUAAGAUGUAUCAGGAUUUGGGUCGCCAGUUUUGGUGGCGGGGUAUGAAGAGGGAUGUGGCUGUUUUCGUAUCGAAGUGCCUUACUUGCCAGCAAGUGAAGGCCGAGCAUCAGAGGCCAGCGGGUUUGUUGCAACCC
rnacentral:sRNA from 1 species